GGGAGCAUAGCUCAGCUGGGAGAGCAUCUGCCUUACAAGCAGAGGGUCACAGGUUCGAGCCCUGUUGCUCCCA
rfam:Delta proteobacterium ML8_F1 contig_119, whole genome shotgun sequence.